ACCACCUCCCCCAAGCCCCGCACCCCGAUCCCGGUCUCUCUCUAGGUCAAUGAGUCCGCCCCAGCCGCGAGCGACGCGUCUUUGGGGGAUGAGGAGCCACAGAGAAUCCUCCUCUCUCGGGGACCGAGGUCCUUGCUCCCGGGUGAGAAUUGUCUCUAGAAUGCAGCAGACCACGAGGUGGCAGUUCCAAGUGCACUGGAGCAAUGAGCUUCCUCCAUGGUCAGGAGAUGGCUGCAGCAGUUCCAGCUAACACAAUCUCACACACGUGUCCAGAGUAUGAAGGCCUCUGGUUCUAUUCAGCUGCCUCCUCUUUUGGUUUUUUAAUCUGUGGGCUUCCACUCAGUCAUUGAUGGGAGAAGAUUCCGAUUGGAGCUGCUUUGGCUUACAAAGGAGAUGUAAGAGACACGAGUUCUACCCCUGGUUCAGGAAGAUCUCCUGGAGGAGAGCAUGGCAACCCACUGAAGUAUUCUUGCCUGGAGAAUUCCAAGGACAGAGGAGCCUGAGAAUGAGCACAUAUUGCUAUGCACAAGAGGAAAUUGCCAGUCUGAAAAUUUCCCUUUGUGGUGUCUAAUGGAGUAAUCCAGAAUCCUCUUCUGGGAGCUGAGAGUCUUUAUACAAGAAGUCCAUCUUCUCUGACACUGCCAUCCUAGAGAGGCCUUGAGUGGAAACUUUUGUUGACAGAUCCUGCUAAGCUCACCCUUUUUGCCAUCCCUAUCAAGUAACAUGAGUGAGCUGUUGCGGACCCUCCAGACCUUGAGAGUUGAGUGUCACCAAGCAAAUCCUUCAAUGGCACUUGGAACAAAAGAAUCACCCAGUUGAACCUUGUCUGAAUUUCUGACCCAUGACAUCUGGAGAUUUGACAAUAGGGUGUCUUUUUAAGCUGCUGCAUCUUAGAAGCUUUUGUAACCCAGCUGUAGAUAAUCAGAACAGUGAACAUAAAUAGUAAGUUUCCUGACCCGGGAGUGACGUAGUUAAGAAAGGAGUGCCUUUGAUCACCGAGUAUUCAAACCUCUCUGUUUGCUUGUUUGCCAAGGAAAUCAUACUUGCAGUAGAAUCUUAACCAAUAGCAUUACAUGUGCUAGAGCUCAAAACUGAGUCAUAGCUAGGAGUCCAGAGUGAUAUCUUCUCUGUCCUUCUCUUGUUCCCAACUCCCCAGAGGCCCCGAGACCUUCUGCAGUCCAGCUGAGAAUAUGUUUCCAGCUAACAUAUGUCUGAGAGCUAACCCAAGAGUCAGGUUAAUGACAAGAAAAUGUACAAACCUGGGAUGAGACGCAGAGAAGAGCAGGCAGGGGAGCAGAACUGUCAGUGAGAGAGAAAGCGAAGCAUCAGUGUGCAGUGGGUAACAAGACUCCAGCAGAAAUCACCGACAGCUGCACUUGCUGUCUCCAGGAGACUUUCUGCAGGUAGAGGGGAAGGCUGAGAAAAUGCAGAGAGUCUGAGAACUCCCCACGGGAGGUGCAGUGGGAAUCCCAAAGGUGAAUGAUGCAAGAAGGGAACUGAUGCUCUGAUCCAAGCCACCCAGGGCUGGAAGACUUUACUAGUUCCUUAGUGAGGAGAGCGGAAAUAAGACCACACCUGGGUUAUAGAUGCUGUAAUAUGUAUGUGAUAUGCAUCUAAUGGAAUUGUCAAGUAAAUCUGUUUCUAGUUUUACUAAGGCUCUUUUUAAGUAAGGUUGUUUGUUUACUAUUACACAUAAGGUCUCUGUUUUAGAUAUGGUUGAAUGAGUACACAAACUUGGGUGGUCUCAAAAGAUUACCUAGUUAUGUUCUUGGUACCAAGGGAAAGACUACGUUUGAAUCAUUAAGGGCCCUGAAUAACAGACGCCUACGGAGAGGCUUUGGAGAAGGCAAUGGCACUCCACUCCAGUACCCUUCCCUGGAAAAUCCCAUGGACAGAGGAGCCUAGCAGGCUACAGUCCAUGGGGUUGCUAAGAGUGGCUAAGACACGACUGAGCGACUUCACUUUCACUUUUCACUUUCAUGCAUUGGAGAAGGAAAUGGCAAGCCACUCCAGUAUUCUUGCCUGGAGAAUCCCAGGGACGGGGGAGCCUGGUGGGCUGCCGUCUGUGGGGUCGCACAGAAUCGGACAUGACUGAAGUGAUUUAGCAGCAGCAGCAGCAGGAGAGGCUUGGGGCUUCCCAGGUGGGGCUGGUGGUAAAGAACUCGUCUCCAAUGCAGGAUAUGUAACAGAUGGGGGUUUGAUCCCUGGGUUGGGAAGAUCCCCUGGAGGAGUAUUCUUGCCUGGAGAAUUCCAUGGACAGAGGAGCCUGGCGGGUUACAGUCCAAGGGGUCGCACAGAGUCAGACACGACUGAAGUGACUGAGCAUGCACACACACACACACAUGCACGGACACACACACACGGAGAGUUGGGCAUUGCCAGGUAAACUUUUCACACAUUCAGCUGUUCAGAAAAACCACUGGUUUGUUUUAACUGAGGAGCACAGCAUUAGAAUUUUACAAUUAAAAUCUAGCAUACUUUAUUCUGUAUGUACUUGAAAAAAAAUAAUCUUAUUUAAUGAGUAUGUAUGAUGAUGAUUAUAAUAAUUAUUUAGUCCUAUUACAUGAAACCCUCUUCCAAGGAAGUGCAAAGCCUUUUAAAUAAGCCACUUCUAAAAACCAUCACAUCCCAUCGCUCUAUUGCAUGCAGCAGCACUCGGGAAGCUCUGACUGCGCAGGUUGCUAUAUUAACUUAAUAGGUGGAGUGAAUUCCUGGGUCAGCUGAGGUGGGCCCCUUGCGGGGGCGGAGAGUCGCCUUAAAGAGUUUUGUCAGGGAACAAAGAGCACAUAGAAAGCAUGUCCAGAGGUUUGGUGACAUCUGUACCCUGGCAUCAUUCAUGAUAUACGUUUACAGCCUGCAGAGCUAAUGCUUCCUUCAGAGCCAGUCAUGCUGCGUGUUGGAAGGCAGAUCAGCAGUCGCUCAAAUUUAUUCUGAAUCUAUAAUGCUGACUGCAUAACAACAGAAAAGCAGUCCUGAAAUGCUGUCAUGGCAUGCUCAGUUAUCAUCGCAAUAGCUCAGUGGCUUGACAUUUUCAGCAGUAAAAUAUCCAGGCAUCUUAACUACCCCCCUCAAAAAAAAAAAAAAAAAAAUCACAGCAAUCUUUAGUCAUAGCAGCAAAAACAUUAGUAACCAUAAGAUGAUUCAUUUUUUUUUGUUUGCCUGUUAGCCUUCCUGCCAAAGCGUU